UCUUUAACUAUUUGAAUUUAUAAUUUUCUUAUCGAAAUAUUGAUAUUGUAUGGCAUGAAUGUUUAAUAUUGUAUUUGAUUGUGUUUUAAAAAUUUUGAUUUUACUAUAAUAUAUUUUGAAAUGUGGUAAAAGAGAAAUCAUUAUUUUAGGUUCGGGUUUUCGGGUUCGGCUUUGGGUUUCGGGUUUUUGGUCGGGGUCAGAUAUGGGUUUGGAUUUUUAAAACCCACUGGGUUUGGGUCCGGGUUCGGGUUUUUGAAA
rnacentral:lncRNA from 1 species